rnacentral:lncRNA from 1 species
GAACACGGGAUCUUGGUACGAGCCCUUCAUUGAGAGCGGGUCAGAGAGAGAAGAACCUCCGUCCGACCCUCAUGGCCUCAUUCAUCUCCCCUCUCUUUGCAUCUCGGUCUUUCUCUAGAUCCGAUCUCCCGAAUAUCUCUUCUAAGACCCUAACUGUAAGCCCGACUCUUGCAGGAAUUGCGCGAUUUUCCCUUCAUUCUUCGAUGAAUUUUUGGUAUUUCUCGAGGUUCUAAUUCGAGUUUUCUUAACUUGUUCCGUGGUUCGAAAUUCCCAAUUGGAGUGAUCCUGGAAUGGCUUUCUACCGGCUCAUUGGCGAGUGGUCGCGAUCUCGCCGGUGGAGAAGGUA